rnacentral:piRNA from 1 species
UGUAUGCUCAGCUGGACAGUGUGUA